rnacentral:rRNA from 1 species
GCUAGUGAGACUGUUGGGUUAAGUCCNGCAACGAGCGCAACCCUUGNUCCUUAGUUUGCCAGCAUUCAGUUGGGCACUCUAAGGAGACUGCCGGUGUUAACCUGGAGGAAGGUGGGGAUGACGUCAAGUCCUCAUGGCCCUUAUGUCCAGGGNCUACACACGUGCUACAAUGGCCGGUACGAAGGGUAGCGAGACCGCAAGGUUGAGCGAAUCCCAAAAAGCUGGUCUCAGUUCGGAUUGGAGUCUGCAACUCGACUCCAUGAAGUUGGGAUCGCUAGUAACCGCGGAUCAGCAUGCCGCGGUGAAUACGUUCCCGGGCCUU